rnacentral:rRNA from 1 species
AGCGAACGCUGGCGGCAGGCUUAACACAUGCAAGUCGAGCGGGCACUUCGGUGUCAGCGGCAGACGGGUGAGUAACACGUGGGAACGUACCCUUCGGUUCGGAAUAACGCUGGGAAACUAGCGCUAAUACCGGAUACGCCCUUUUGGGGAAAGGUUUACUGCCGAAGGAUCGGCCCGCGUCUGAUUAGCUAGUUGGUGGGGUAAUGGCCUACCAAGGCGACGAUCAGUAGCUGGUCUGAGAGGAUGAUCAGCCACACUGGGACUGAGACACGGCCCAGACUCCUACGGGAGGAAGAAGGGGGGAAUAUUGAACAAUGGGUGCAAGCCGAAGCCAGCCAGGCCGCGUGAGUGAUGAAGGACUUAGGGUUGUAAAGCUCUUUUGUCCGGGACGAUAAUGACGGUACCGGAAGAAUAAGCCCCGGCUAACUUCGUA